GUCUUUUAAAACAUAAAUCUAUAGCUCACAUAAAUAUUAUUAAACAAUUUUUUCUCAAAAUGCUUAUAAUAAAAACUACUAUAUUACACUAAACAAUUUUUUACCACAAAGUACAACUUAAAAUGAAUCUCCAGUUAAAUUGUCAAGUACCUAUAGUAUAGGUCCUAUAUCUAUUUGUGUUUGGUCAAACAAUUUACUCCACAUAGUACCAACCAAAAAAUAAACCCAUGUUUCUAAUUAUUUGUAAAAGGAAAAUGUUUAAUUGAUAAAAUUUCUUUCAUUUUUUUUGUUGUUUUAAUGUUUUGUAAUAUUAUAUAUUUAUAUCAGUAAAACAUAAUUAAAAAGAUAGCAUCUGGCAAUUAAAUUUGGGGAAAUAACAUGGUCCUACUAUUGUAGUACUUCUACUGUCCCCCACGAGGACAAAAUAAAUACCGUGAACAUAUAAUCGGGCAUAGGCAAUAGCUGAUAAAGCGUAAUAAUUUGUUUUUAUAAUUUACAAAACAUUGUAUGAUUUCAAAAAAGAAUUAUUUUCAACAUUAAUAUUACUUGAGUUAAAAAAUAUAAUUUCUUGGUGUAUUUUUUUAAUUUUAUAAUAAAAAUCAUAUGGCUUCCUAUUUAGUAAUUCCUUG